AAUAACAAUAAAAAUGACUGCAACAGGAAGUCAUCUGAAAAAGUCUACAUUUUUAUCUUUUUCUUUUUUUUUUGUGCUGCAGCUGCUGCUUUGCUUUGCUUCUUCUUCUUCUGCUUCUGUGCC
rnacentral:ribozyme from 14 species